UGGAGAGUUUGAUCCUGGCUCAGGACGAACGCUGGCGGCGUGCCUAAUACAUGCAAGUCGAGCGGACWUCUUAAAAGCUUGCUUUUAAGAWGUCAGCGGCGGACGGGUGAGUAACACGUGGGCAACCUGCCUGUAAGACUGGGAUAACUUCGGGAAACCGGAGCUAAUACCGGAUAAUAUAAGGAACCUCCUGGUUCUUUAUUGAAAGAUGGUUUCGGCUAUCACUUACAGAUGGGCCCGCGGCGCAUUAGCUAGUUGGUGAGGUAAUGGCUCACCAAGGCGACGAUGCGUAGCCGACCUGAGAGGGUGAUCGGCCACACUGGGACUGAGACACGGCCCAGACUCCUACGGGAGGCAGCAGUAGGGAAUCUUCCACAAUGGACGAAAGUCUGAUGGAGCAACGCCGCGUGAGCGAUGAAGGCCUUCGGGUCGUAAAGCUCUGUUGUUAGGGAAGAACAAGUGCGAGAGUAACUGCUCGCACCUUGACGGUACCUAACCAGAAAGCCACGGCUAACUACGUGCCAGCAGCCGCGGUA
rnacentral:rRNA from 2 species